rnacentral:telomerase_RNA from 1 species
CACUGCCACCACAGCUCAGUCCUGCCUCGCCAAGGUUGCGAAAGCACCUCGUAACCCUAAAUAAUGGCUUGCACUCGCCAGACAAUUGGCGGCAUCCCUGAAAGGAGGUCUUUCCAGGGCGCCCUCCCUCCUGAUCAAAAAGAGGCCCCGGCGCGGGUGCCUGAGCUGUGCCUGGAUAGGCCUGUCGUGGGCCGGUGGGGUCCCCAGCCCGCGCAUGCACGGCUGUGGGGCGUGAUCCGCUCACACCCCUGCCAAUUCCGGACAGCGGCCUGGCAGUGUGCUGCGUUUUCAGUCCCAUCCAACCGUCGCAUUG